UUUCCGUAGGUGAACCUGCGGAAGGAUCAUUCAUAAUAAAGUGUUUUAUGGCACCUUUUAAAAAUCCAUAUCCACCUUAUGUGCAAUGUUAGAUCUCGUCAAUCUUGGCGAGAUUUUUAUACAUCAACUCAUUCUUUAACUAAUUUGUCUGAAAAAUAUUAUGAAUACUUAAUUCAAAAUACAACUUUCAACAACGGAUCUCUUGGCUCUC
rnacentral:misc_RNA from 1 species